rnacentral:lncRNA from 1 species
CCUUCAAUGAUCACAGAGUCCAACUCUCAGACUGCUUUGGGGCUGAUCCAAAGUUAAAGCAUUUCCUUCGGGACAUUACCCAAAUGCCUCUUGAACACUGACAGCAUCAACCACCUCUCUAGGAAGCCUGUUUCAGUGUUUGACCACUCACGAGGUACAUGGCAUUACGGAACACGCUUCAGGCUCCUCAAUCAACAGAACAGUCAAAGCGAAGAGUGUAAAAGCAGAGAGAUGGCCACGAUUUUGGUAAAGUUGCAACAGGUUUUAAGUACUAGAAGGCUACAACGAGGCUCCCUGGAGCCUUUUCUUCUCCAGGCUGAACAAGUCCAUCUCCCUCAGCCUGUCUUUGUAAAAGAGGUGCUCCAGCCUUCAGAUCAUCUCCAUGGCCCUCCUCUGGAUCCACUCCAACAGUCCUAUGACUUUCUCGUGCUGGCAGCCUCAAGCCUGGAUGCAGUACUGUAGAUGGAACCUCAGGAGGUCAGCGUAGAGGGGACAAUCACCUCCCUCUCCCUGCUGGCCUCCCUCUGUUAAUGCAGCCCAGGAUACUGUUGGCCUUCUGAGCUGCAAAAGCACACUAUUGGCUCACAUUCUACUUUCUGUCUAUCAGGACAGCCAAGCCCUUCCCCACAGGGCUGUUCUCAAUGAGUUCAUCUCCGAGCCCGUUCUCACAUUUAGGAUUGCCCUGCCCAAGUAACACACGCUGCCCUUUGCCUUGUUGAACCUCAUUAGGUUCUCAUAUGCCCACUUUUCAAGUAUGUCCAGGUCCCUCUGGUUGGUGUCCCUCCCUUCUAUUGUGGCAACUGCACCACUCAGCUUGGUGUCAGCAGCACACUUGCUGGGGAUGCACUUUAUCC